rnacentral:lncRNA from 1 species
ACAGGACCAAUAGAACUGAGAGAUGGUUAUGUAAUGAAAAUGUAGGAUCCAAAGAUGAGUAAAUGUGUAUUGUUCACAGGACCAACGGAUUAGGAGUUUGAGGUGGGCAGAGUAAUACGCAGAGUAUCCCAUGUGAUCUCCACAUGUCGUCUCUCUUUCUCAACUUCCAUCCUUAUUAACUAUUUUUUUUAUUUUUUUAUUUAUUUAUUUAUUUGGUGUAUGCCAAUUAAAUUCAUUUUUCUUCUUUCAUUAUGUCUUGGUUGACAUUUCUAUACAGUCUAUAUAACAUAUCAUAGUUUUCACUUUUCAUUUUUUUUGAUAAAGAACACUCUGGAAAUAUAUCAACAACUACAUUAAAACUUAACGCAGAGCAGUUACACAUCACACAAGCACCAAAUAAGAUCUUUCGGUUAUCUUUUUUUUUUUCCCGUCAAGUUUUUUUUUUUUUGAAUUAAUAAAAGGAUGGGCCGCGCCCACCGGGUCAAAACCCGAUUACAACAUAACAGAACAAAAGGCCCACAAACACAACUGGGCUGAACACAAUCUAAGCAUAAGCCCAAUUCAAACGAAAUCGGCCCACCGGCCUAACCCUAAUCCCUCCUCCCGAUUCCGACCUGUGCGCCGACAGGGAGCGUAGAAGCAAAAUACGUGGACGAAUCUACAACGUUGUCACUGCACGCGCUGCUUCAUCUCGACCUAUCCUUCACAGCAUCGGAGAGUCGCCGGAGGAGAAUAUCGGCACCGCGAUACGGCGGAGCUCAUUCCUUGCGGAGCUUCCGACAUCUCUUAACCCCAUUUCAUCGCUCUAUCUAUGUGUCGGAGAUCCAAAUCUUCCCCAACACGCCCAAGCUUCACGAAACACUGACUAAUCUUCUCCGCAAUGUCUUCACGCCAGAGAAUUUCACCG